CCUACGGGUGGCAGCAGUAGGGAAUAUUGCUCAAUGGGGGAAACCCUGAAGCAGCAACGCCGCGUGGAGGAUGAAGGUUUUCGGAUUGGUAACUCCUUUUGUUAGAGGAGAUAAUCACGUUAUCUAACGAAUAAGCAACGUCUAACUCCGUUCCAGCAGCCGCGGUAAUACGGAGGGUGCCAGCGUUACUCGGAAGCACUGGGCGUAAAGAGCGCGUAGGCGGGAUAGCAAGUCAGAUGUGAAAUGGUAGGGCUUAACCAGAGAACUGCAUUUGAAACUGUCAUUCUUGAGUAUGCGAGAGGUAGGUGGAAUUCUUGGUGUAGCGGUAAAAUCCGUAGAGAUCAAGAAGAAUACUCAUUGCGAAGGCGACCUGCUAGAGCAUAACUGACGCUGAUGCGCGAAAGCGUGGGGAGCAAACAGGAUUAGAUACCCUUGUAGUC
rnacentral:rRNA from 1 species